AGCGAACGCUGGCGGCAGGCUUAACACAUGCAAGUCGAGCGGGCACUUUCGGGUGUCAGCGGCGGACGGGUGAGUAACGCGUGGGAACGUGCCCUCUGGUUCGGAAUAACUCAGGGAAACUUGAGCUAAUACCGGAUACGCCCUUUUGGGGAAAGGCUUGCUGCCGGGGGAUCGGCCCGCGUCUGAUUAGCUAGUUGGUGAGGUAACGGCUCACCAAGGCGACGAUCAGUAGCUGGUCUGAGAGGAUGAUCAGCCACACUGGGACUGAGACACGGCCCAGACUCCUGCGGGGGGCGGGAGGGGGGAAUUUUGGAAAAUGGGCGCAAGCCUGACCCAGCCAGGCCGGGUGAGUGAUGAAGGCUUUAGGGUUGUAAAGCUCUUUUACCCGGGACGAUAAUGCGGGUACCGGGGGAAAAAGCCCCGGCUAACUUCGU
rnacentral:rRNA from 1 species